rnacentral:rRNA from 1 species
ACAACCUGCCCUUAGGUUGGGUAUAAACCCGGGAAACUGGGUAUAAUACCCGAUAGGUCUCGAUUGCUGGAAUGCAUCGAGAUUUAAAGCUCCGGCGCCUAAGGAUGGGUCUGCGGCCUAUCAGGUAGUAGUGGGUGUAGCGUACCUACUAGCCUACGACGGGUACGGGUUGUGAGAGCAAGAGCCCGGAGAUGGAUUCUGAGACACGAAUCCAGGCCCUACGGGGUGCAGCAGGCGCGAAAACUUUACAAUGCUGGCAACAGCGAUAAGGGAACCUCGAGUGCCAGGUUACAAAUCUGGCUGUCGAGAUGCCUAAAAAGCAUUUCAUAGCAAGGGCCGGGCAAGACCGGUGCCAGCCGCCGCGGUAACACCGGCGGCUCGAGUGGUAACCGUUAUUAUUGGGUCUAAAGGGUCUGUAGCCGGCCGGAUAAGUCUCUUGAGAAAUCUGGCAGCUUAACUGUCAGGCUUUCAGGAGAUACUGUCUGGCUCGAGGCCGGGAGAGGUGAGAGGUACUUCAGGGGUAGGGGUGAAAUCUUGUAAUCCUUGAAGGACCACCAGUGGCGAAGGCGUCUCACCAGAACGGACCUGACGGCAAGGGACGAAAGCUAGGGGCACGAACCGGAUUAGAUACCCGGGUAGUCCUAGCCGUAAACGAUACUCGCUAGGUGUCGGCCACGGUGCGACCGUUGUCGGUGCCGUAGGGAAGCCGUGAAGCGAGCCACCUGGGAAGUACGGCCGCAAGGCUGAAACUUAAAGGAAUUGGCGGGGGAGCACCACAACGGGUGGAGCUUGCGGUUUAAUUGGAUUCAACGCCGGAAAUCUUACCGGGACCGACAGCAAUAUGAAGGCCAGGCUGAAGACUUUGCCGGAUUAGCUGAGAGGUGGUGCAUGGCCGUCGUCAGUUCGUACUGUGAAGCAUCCUGUUAAGUCAGGCAACGAGCGAGACCCACGCCCACAGUUGCCAGCGUACUCUCUGGAGUGACGGGUACACUGUGGGGACCGCCGCUGCUAAAGCGGAGGAAGGAAUGGGCAACGGUAGGUCAGUAUGCCCCGAAUAUCCCGGGCUACACGCGAGCUACAAUGGUUGGUACAAUGGGUAUCUACCCCGAAAGGGGACGGGAAUCUCCUAAAACCAAUCUUAGUUCGGAUUGAGGGCUGCAACUCGCCCUCAUGAAGCUGGAAUCCGUAGUAAUCGCGUUUCAACAGAACGCGGUGAAUACGUCCCUG